AUACGUAGGGGGCGAGCGUUGUCCGGAAUGAUUGGGCGUAAAGGGCGCGUAGGCGGCCCGGUAAGUCUGGAGUGAAAGUCCUGUUUUUAAGAUGGGAAUUGCUUUGGAUACUGUCGGGCUUGAGUGCAGGGGAGGUAAGUGGAAUUCCCAGUGUAGCGGGGAAAUGCGUAGAGAUUGGGAGGAAAACCAGUGGCGAAGGCGACUUACUGGACUGUAACUGACGCUGAGGCGCGAAAGUGUGGGGAGCAAACAGGAUUAGAUACCCUGGUAGUCCACACUGUAAACGAUGAAUGCUAGGUGUAGGGGGUAUCGACCCCUUCUGUGCCGCAGUCAACACAAUAAGCAUUCCGCCUGGGGAGUACGGCCGCAAGGUUGAAACUCAAAUGAAUUGACGGGG
rnacentral:rRNA from 1 species